rnacentral:rRNA from 1 species
CUACAAAGGAAUUGACGGGGGCCCGCACAAGCGGUGGAGCAUGUGGUUAAUUCGACGCAACGCGAAGAACCUUACCAGGGCUUGACAUCCCCUGACCGCGUAUGAAAGUACGUUUUCACCCUCGGGUGACAGGGAGACAGGUGGUGCAUGGUUGUCGUCAGCUCGUGUCGUGAGAUGUUGGGUUAAGUCCCGCAACGAGCGCAACCCCUACGUUUAGUUGCUAACAGGUGAAGCUGAGCACUCUAGACGAACUGCCGUUGACAAAACGGAGGAAGUGGGGAUGACGUCAAAUCAUCAUGCCCCUUAUGUUCUGGGCUACACACGUGCUACAAUGGCCGGUACAGACGGAGGCGAAGCCGCGAGGCGGAGCAAAUCCGAAAAAGCCGGUCUCAGUUCGGAUUGCAGGCUGCAAUUCGCCUGCAUGAAGUCGGAAUCGCUAGUAAUCGCAGGUCAGCAUACUGCGGUGAAUACGUUCCCGGGCCUU